ACAUGACAAAUAAAGUGUCUUACACAUGUAAAUCUUAAUGUUAAAGCUGCUUGGUCCGAUUUUCAAUAAAAUAAUUGUACGCUUUUAAACGAUGGUUAUGCUAAGUAUGUGUGCAAUAAUAUACGUUGCAGUACAUGUAGUUUUCCCUGUCAAUUAAGCCAUAUUUCAAUGAAAAAAUUAUGUACAUGUUGAAACUCGUUGAAUCCGGAUGUUGUUUAUUACGGCAUGCUGCCCAAUCCGGCGACAUUAUUCAGCCCCUUGACAUUUUCCCAUCAUUUUUGUUUAAAAAAAAUUUGUGCAAUCCGGAUCCUAUCUAUUCUGUUAACCGGCGCAAUGAAAAAGCCUACUGCAUAUUAUUAGUGAGAGUUAUCUCCCGUAGUCCGUCCACUUAUCGAUCGAUCGGCCUUCUGCGAGAUAUUAAUGCUCAAUUAUUGACCAAUUUUUCUGUCGUUGCUAUUGAUUUAAACAACUGUUAAUAUAGAUCCAAAGAAGCAACUUUUUUCAGUUAAUACCGUAAAGUCUUGUUAUGAAUUGCAAUUGGAUAAUUAGAUUAUAGUUCACCCAAUUUUUUUCAGGCCGUGAUUCAGGAUACUGCGGGAGUAAGACUGCCGAUAUCGUUUGUUAUCCCCGUUGCAUGGCUACACGUAAAUCGGAUGUUUGAAAGAUUAUCAAUAACGACGAUUUAAUUCAAGGAUUUCCAUCAACCACCCUCCGCCGGAUUAGACAAGUUUUGUUGUGUAUUCGCAAAAUAAUCGACAUAAAAGGGUUUUGCGUUAUUUCGCCGCUUGUUUAAACUGGCCCCUUACGUCGAAGCUAGUAUGAUUGUAUUACGACUUUGACAUCUGGUUUUUUUAUAUAAUCUAUUAUAACAUAUAAAAUAUACAGCAUGACUAUUUAAACAAAAAUAAAGCAGUGUACAUUUGUUCAUUAAUAGUUUUGAUGUUUACGUUGUUUAUAAUCAUUGCAAAACAUGCAGGAUGAAUAAACUCAAUCAUUCGGAGGAUGAAACCCAACGGUUUCCUUUUUUAAACAUUCCAAUGAUGUAUUUUGGGGGGUUUUUGUAUGCCCCAAAUUUAUUUUUAUUUACUUUGAAUAUUUCUAACGUUGAAAGGAGAGCACUUCCGUUUAAAUACGUCUAUAAAUUUGUAAGAUUAUUCAUUAGGUUUGCAAGGAAAAUUAUUUGAUACUGUAAUGGCCGACAAAUCGGAACAUGCAGCUUGAAGAAAUUUCUCAACUUAUUAUACCUCGAAACGUUAUUUCAAAUCAGGCACCAAACAAUGAAGGGAACUGGAAAUAUUCGGCGGAUCCAAAUGUUAAAAUAUUCUUAUGAUAAAAAUUGAUAUUUAUGGCAAACAGAUUAAUCAUUUUUUAUCUCUUAAAGAUAUAAUCGCACCUGUGUUUUGUAUCCAUCUCUUUUAAACUCUUUGUAGCCAAAUCUGUCAAAAUUCGUGGUCGUUUCACCCUCUUGUUGCAACCCCAAACCCCGCUGAAAUGUUCACAAUCGAUGCGCUGAUGAACGAAAGACUCGACUAGAAAAACUUGCUGCAUGGGCCGUCUAACAUUAUUAAUUUUAAUGAUGAAUUCAGAAACUUUUACAUUUCAAAAAGUGUCAUUUUUUGUUAAGUUACAGGAACAUUGUCA